rnacentral:tRNA from 1 species
UCCCUGGUGGCUCAGAUGGUAAAGCAUCUGCCUGCAAUGCAGGAGACCCGGGUUCGAUUGCUCGGUCGGAA